rnacentral:lncRNA from 1 species
GUGACAGAAGAGAGUGAGCACACAUGGGUUUUCUUGCAAAAUAAUUAUUUAGCCUCAUGUAUGCUUCAAACUAUGUGUGCUCACCCUCUAUCUGUCACCCCCCUCCUCUUUCUCUCUCUAGUUAUGUACAUGUGUGUCUCUUAUCUUCUACUGCCUAUGUAUAUGAUGGGAAGAUGCAAAGGUAAAAGGGUGGUGACAGAAGAGAGUGAGCACACAUGGAUUUUCUUGCAAAAUAAUCAAUUUAGCCUCAUGUAUGCUUGAAACUAUGUGUGCUCACCCUCUAUCUGUCACCCCCUCCUCUUUCUCUCUCUAGUUAUGUACAUGUGUGUCUCUAAUCUACUAAUGUGUAAAUUUAUAUGUCAUGUAUUUUAAGGGUAAGAUUGUAAGGGAAGGAGUCGUGACAGAAGAGAGUGAGCACAGAUGGGCUUUCUUGCAUGAUAUUAGAUGGAGAUAUAGCAAAUACAAGGUUUCGUAUGCUUGAAGCCAUGUGUGCUCACUCUCUAUCUGUCAU